AUAUGAGCAUUUGUAUCAGUCAAUUUUUAUAUUGGAGAAUUAUUUGUUAGAGUUAUUUCAGGUAAUUACAAAUUAUUAUGAUUUUGGAAUUGAGGAUUUUAUUUGGGUUAGAUUUUGAUUUUUGUUAAGUUGUGAAUAAUUUGAGGUAUGUGAAUCGGUGGGAUAAUAUGAUAAAGUGAAAACUAUUAAAUACAGAGGAUCUCUUGUAAUUUUGAG
rnacentral:lncRNA from 1 species